GGUUACGAGAGGUCGCUGCAGCCUUUGGCUGUAGAGGAAAGUCCAGACUGCCACAGCCUGCGAUGGCUGUAAUGUUCGCGCCCAUUGCAAAAUGGGGCAGGGGCACAUGCCCUUGACGACGGUAAAACCUGCUCACUGAGGAGGGAGUAACCAUAAAGUGCCACAGAAACUUUGUAGAUCGGCGACGAUCUAGUGCAACAGGUAAACUCCGCGAGGCAGAAACCCAAAUUAUGGUAGGGGAACUCUCCCGUAGGGAAAAGAACCGGAGGGGAGAAUGCUUUUUGAGCAUUAGAGAGAUGACCUCAUAAAACAGAAACUGGCUUACGGUA
rnacentral:RNase_P_RNA from 1 species